rnacentral:lncRNA from 10 species
AAAAAUACAUGUACCUCAAUAAUUUUAUCAAGGGCAUGUUUUGUGCUAGAUACUACUCUUUAUGUUAGGAAUAUAAGCAAUUGUAUAAGAUACUUACAGAUUGCAGUAAGUGGUAAAAAAUAUAACAUGAAGAGGGAAUAGUGAUGAGAAGGUAACUAUAUAGGGGAGUGGUCAGGGAGUGCUUCACUGAAGAUGUAAAAUAUGAACUGAAACCUAUAUCCUGAUUUAAAAUAGCUUUGCAGAUGUUUUAGGUAAAUAGCAGCAAGCGAACAAUACCAAAGUUUUUAUUUUUGUAAUUUGAAAUCAAUGUGCA